CCAGACUCCUACGGGAGGCAGCAGUGAGGGAUAUUGGUCAAUGGGGGAAACCCUGAACCAGCAACGCCGCGUGAGGGAAGACGGUUUUCGGAUUGUAAACCUCUGUCCUCUGUGAAGAUAAUGACGGUAGCAGAGGAGGAAGCUCCGGCUAACUACGUGCCAGCAGCCGCGGUAAUACGUAGGUGACAAGCGUUGUCCGGAUUUACUGGGUGUAAAGGGCGCGUAGGCGGACUGUCAAGUCAGUCGUGAAAUACCGGGGCUUAACCCCGGGGCUGCGAUUGAAACUGACAGCCUUGAGUAUCGGAGAGGAAAGCGGAAUUCCUAGUGUAGCGGUGAAAUGCGUAGAUAUUAGGAGGAACACCGGUGGCGAAGGCGGCUUUCUGGACGACAACUGACGCUGAGGCGCGAAAGUGUGGGGAGCAAACAGGAUUAGAUACCCGGGUA
rnacentral:rRNA from 1 species